GAUCUCAAAUGAAGUAAGACUACCCGCUGAACUUAAGCAUAUUAUUAAGCGGAGGAAAAGAAACUAACAAGGAUGCCCUCAGUAACGGCGAGUGAAGCGGGCAAAGCUCAACCUGAAAAUCGGGUUCCCAAACGGGUUCUCGAAUUGUGGGCUAGAGACGCUGGAUCAGUGUGUGACCCAGGUAUAACUCUUUUGAAACAAGGGAUCAUAGAGGGUGAGAAUCCCGUCUGUGACCUGGAGUUCGCCGCGUACGAUCCGUGUUCAUAGAGUCGAGUUGUUUGGGAUUGCAGCUCUAAAUGGGUGGUAAAUUUCAUCUAAAGCUAAAUAUCGACGAGAGACCGAUAGCGAACAAGUACCGUGAGGGAAAGAUGAAAAGAACUUUGAAAAGAGAGUUAAAAAGUACUUGAAAUUGCUAAGAGAGAAGCACUGGAAACCAG
rnacentral:rRNA from 1 species